GUGGCGAGGAUGACAACGAAUCUGUACAGUGUAAGCAGUGUUUGAACUCGAUCUUGGUUCUUGGACUCUUGAUAAGCUCAAUUAACUGUUUGCAGCGGACGGGAUCUUCUCGGAGAAUCGACGAC
rnacentral:precursor_RNA from 15 species